AUGUCAAAAGGAGAUAGGUUACUUCUCGCAAAGGCCGUCCUACAACCCCUCCCAGUGCAUAUGCUAUCAUCUCAGAAACCCCCAAAAUGGCUGCUCAAAUGGCUCGAUCAGCGCACACGGGCUUGGUUCUGGAACGCGAAGGAUAAGUGCAAUGGAGGGAACUGCAGAGUCAGAUGGGAUGUGGUAUGCCGACCAAAGCAGCUAGGUGGGCUUGGCCUGCAGGACAUGGAAAAAUUUGCACGGGCUCUUAGGUUGAGAUGGAUUUGGAUCAGAUGGACCACAUCAAAAAUUCCAAUCAUUGGCGCAUAUGGCCCUUGCGAUGAUGAGGACUUCGCUGUCUUUGCAAGCGCCACGCGAGUUACCAUCGGUGAUGGCAAGACUGCGCUGUUCUAG
rnacentral:rRNA from 1 species